GAAAACAAGGUGGAUUUCACAGGAGGAAGAAGAGGGAUGCAGACUUAGCCAUUUCUGCUUGACAAAUCAGAAACUGUCCCAGACACGCGGGAAUAUAUGGAGGAAUCAUCUUUCAACAAUAAUGUAUUUACCUGUGCAAAUAAAUAACAGAUUUAUUUUACCCAUAUGUCAAAUAAAGCAUAUAUUUAAUAA